GAGACCAAAUUAAUGCAAAAAAUGUUGAAAACAUUGUAAAAAUAUCUAUUUAGGGCAAGUGACCCGGUUGUGGCCAUCGACCCCUUUGUGGCCACUUGGGCCUUCAAAUAUUUAUAACUAAGGCAUGGACAAAUAAAUUACUCUGUGAUGUACAGUAUUUAAAAUAUUGAAUAUUGGAGACAAUAAUACCGUUGGCAGCUUUAAUGUGUCAAACUUCACUUCGAUGCAACACGUCAUUCUUUUUAGUUGAGGAUGAAAUUGUUAAGUUCUUAACAAAAAGGCUAAGGCGAGCGGGUGAGGAUUUGGUUUUUAUUUUUUAAAUCUUUGCUUAUUGUUUGGAUGUUUAUGUUAAUACUACAUUAAGAAUAUAUUGUCUAAGUGAAACUAAAGUUAUUUUGUCGCCAUAUGUUUCAGAAGUGAGGUUUUUAGAAGGUGGCCACUAAUGGAGAUAAAAUUAUGAAUUUCUCCAUCUUUGGCCACAUGGCUGGCCAAAACUAAUGUACACAGACACCCGACUUCUUCCCCUUUAUUUUAUCGUGGCUUUUUUUCCUUGGCUUUACAUAUCAACAAAUACAUAUUUUUCAUUUUCAGAGAUGCAAUAAAUUGCCUUCACACAAAGGGAGGUCAGUUUACUUUGCAGCUUUUACCAACGUCAUAUAAAUGUUGAUCUCUUUAUUUGUAAGUUAAAUUCAAGUGAAGUAAUAAUAUUUCAUAUUUUCCAGACUAAAUGAAAACCAUUGUUUCUAAAAUGUCAAAUCUAAUUAAUAAAUUUUGAUUACUUUUA